rnacentral:lncRNA from 1 species
CUAGGGUCGGCCCGCCCUACGGGCGACAUAUUAGUUAAUUUGAUAUUCACUAAAUGUUCGAGUUGAAAUUUGUUUUAAGAUUCAAAAAUUUGGUUAUUUGUUAUGCGUUACUUAUUAGUAUGCGGUGGUAUAGUUGUUUUCCGAUUAUUCUUGCUUUGGUAUUGUAUCAAAUUAACUAAUUGUCCAACUCAUAAUUAUAGAUGUACAAAUGUGGAUUUGUGAUAAAGUUUGAU